AAACGAGAUAGAGAUAGCCCGGUAAGCGGGAUGAAUUUUGCUUGCGUUUAUGAGGAGAUUUUAUCCUGCUUGCUGGGCUAGAAAUCAUUUACAUUGCACUCAAUUGGCUUUCCCGGGGCAAAUGUCAAAAUCAAUUUUUGCUUCAAACUCGCUAAUUUGUAAACAUUACAGCUAGGCCAAAUAAAAAAAUAUGUGGGUUUCCAGUUUCCCGACCCUACCUAGCUUUUGGACGUCGAAAUCCCGACCCUAAACUUUUUUAUUGGAUCACGCUUGUAAGUGUUUCCACUUAGAGCAAAACGUUUGUGGAAAAUGAAAAUUUGAGGCAAUAUUAGGGAAAUUUAUGUUUGGAUGUGGAAGCACUGACUAAACAAAAUGGUGUCCGGUUGUUAGGAAAAUAAAAAAAAGUUAAAACCAACCUACCCUACCUAAGUUUUUACAAUAGGAAACCGGAAACCCACAUUUUUUUGGCCCUAUUGAAGCACAGCUUAAAGACAGGAAGUUUUACCUUGCAGUUUGAUCGUUGAAACGCACAAGUUACCAAGGGCAAAUUCAUGGGAAAUUUAGGCACUUUCGGUCAAUGGGUUGUUCCAGAAAAGAUCCAUAUCCCCCAUGCUGUCCGAAGGGGGAGU
rnacentral:lncRNA from 1 species